GAGUUUGAUUAUGGCUCAGGAUGAACGCUGACAGAAUGCUUAACACAUGCAAGUCUACUUGAAUUUAGGUUUUUUAACUUCGAUUUGGGUGGCGGACGGGUGAGUAACGCGUAAAGAACUUGCCUCACAGCUAGGGACAACAUUUGGAAACGAAUGCUAAUACCUAAUAUUAUGAUUUUAGGGCAUCCUAGAAUUAUGAAAGCUAUAUGCGCUGUGAGAGAGCUUUGCGUCCCAUUAGCUAGUUGGAGAGGUAACGGCUCACCAAGGCGAUGAUGGGUAGCCGGCCUGAGAGGGUGAUCGGCCACAAGGGGACUGAGACACGGCCCCUACUCCUACGGGUGGCAGCAGUGGGGAAUAUUGGACAAUGGACCAAGAGUCUGAUCCAGCAAUUCUGUGUGCACGAUGAAGUUUUUCGGAAUGUAAAGUGCUUUUCAGUUGGGAAGAAAAAGA
rnacentral:rRNA from 1 species